rnacentral:rRNA from 1 species
AGCCACAGCCAUAUCACCCUGCAGCCCAAGACUGAUUGUCCACUGAAGCUAAGCAGGGUUGAGCCUGGUCAGUACCUGGAUGGGAGACCUCCUGGGAAAACUAGGUUGCUGUUC